UGGGGAAUUUUGGACAAUGGGCGAAAGCCUGAUCCAGCAAUGCCGCGUGUGUGAAGAAGGCCUUCGGGUUGUAAAGCACUUUUGUCCGGAAAGAAAUCCUUGGCUCUAAUACAGUCGGGGGAUGACGGUACCGGAAGAAUAAGCACCGGCUAACUACGUGCCAGCAGCCGCGGUAAUACGUAGGGUGCAAGCGUUAAUCGGAAUUACUGGGCGUAAAGCGUGCGCAGGCGGUUUGCUAAGACCGAUGUGAAAUCCCCGGGCUCAACCUGGGAACUGCAUUGGUGACUGGCAGGCUAGAGUAUGGCAGAGGGGGGUAGAAUUCCACGUGUAGCAGUGAAAUGCGUAGAGAUGUGGAGGAAUACCGAUGGCGAAGGCAGCCCCCUGGGCCAAUACUGACGCUCAUGCACGAAAGCGUGGGGAGCAAACAGGAUUAGAUACCCCGGUAGUCCACGCCCUAAACGAUGUCAACUAGUUGUUGGGGAUUCAUUUCCUUAGUAACGUAGCUAACGCGUGAAGUUGACCGCCUGGGGAGUACGGUCGCAAGAUUAAAACUCAAAUGAAUUGACGGGGUCAUAGCUG
rnacentral:rRNA from 1 species